UGCAUGGUGGUGCAGUUGGUAGCACUGUUUCCUUGCAGCAAAAAGGUCCUGGGUUCGACUCCCAGCUGGGGGUCUUUCUGCAU